UAAGGAAUAUUGGACAAUGGAGGCAACUCUGAUCCAGCCAUGCCGCGUGAAGGAAUAAGGCCCUAUGGGUUGUAAACUUCUUUUAGACGGGACAAAACCCCUUUACGUGUAAAGGGUUGAUGGUACUGUCAGAAUAAGCAUCGGCUAACUUCGUGCCAGCAGCCGCAGUAAUACGAAGGAUGCAAGCGUUAUCCGGAAUUAUUGGGUUUAAAGGGUGCGUAGGCGGACUAAUAAGUCAGUGGUGAAAGCCUGCAGCUUAACUGCAGAAUUGCCAUUGAUACUGUUAGUCUUGAGUACAGUUGAGGUAGGCGGAAUGUGUCAUGUAGCGGUGAAAUGCUUAGAUAUGACACAGAACACCGAUUGCGAAGGCAGCUUGCUAAGCUGUAACUGACGCUGAGGCACGAAAGCGUGGGGAGCAAA
rnacentral:rRNA from 1 species